UACGAAGGACCCGAGCGUUAUCCGGAUUUAUUGGGUUUAAAGGGUGCGUAGGCGGAUUAGUAAGUCAGUGGUGAAAGCCCAUCGCUUAACGGUGGAAUUGCCAUUGAUACUGCUAGUCUUGAGUAUGGUUGAGGUGGGCGGAAUGUGUCAUGUAGCGGUGAAAUGCUUAGAUAUGACCCAGAACACCAAUUGCGAAGGCAGCUCGCUAAACCAUAACUGACGCUGAUGCACGAAAGCGUGGGGAGCGAACAGG
rnacentral:rRNA from 1 species